GACGAACGCUGGCGGCGCGCCUAACACAUGCAAGUCGAACGGAGCUGAGAGGAGCUUGCUUUUCUUAGCUUAGUGGCGAACGGGUGAGUAACGCGUGAGUAACCUGCCCUGGAGUGGGGGACAACAGUUGGAAACGACUGCUAAUACCGCAUAAGCCCACGAUCCGGCAUCGGAUUGAGGGAAAAGGAUUUAUUCGCUUCAGGAUGGACUCGCGUCCAAUUAGCUAGUUGGUGAGGUAACGGCCCACCAAGGCGACGAUUGGUAGCCGGACUGAGAGGUUGAACGGCCACAUUGGGACUGAGACACGGCCCAGACUCCUACGGGAGGCAGCAGUGGGGGAUAUUGCACAAUGGGGGAAACCCUGAUGCAGCGACGCCGCGUGGAGGAAGAAGGUUUUCGGAUUGUAAACUCCUGUCGUUAGGGACGAUAAUGACGGUACCUAACAAGAAAGCACCGGCUAACUACGUGCCAGCAGCCGCGGUAAAUGUCUAGCAUG
rnacentral:rRNA from 1 species